GCUACGGGAGGCAGCAGUGAGGAAUAUUGGUCAAUGGACGAGAGUCUGAACCAGCCAAGUAGCGUGAAGGAUGACUGCCCUAUGGGUUGUAAACUUCUUUUAUAUGGGAAUAAAACAGGGUAUGCAUACCCUCUUGUAUGUACCAUAUGAAUAAGGAUCGGCUAACUCCGUGCCAGCAGCCGCGGUAAUACGGAGGAUCCGAUCGUUAUCCGGAUUUAUGUGGUUUAAAGGGAGCGUAGGCGGAUUGUUAAGUAAGUUGUGAAAUUUUGCGGCUCAACCGUAAAAUUGCAGUUGAAACUGGCAGUCGUGAGUACAGUAGAGGUGGGCGGAAUUCGUGGUGUAGCGGUGAAAUGCUUAGAUAUCACGAAGAACUCCGAUUGCGAAGGCAGCUCACUGGACUGCAACUGACACUGAUGCUCGAAAGUGUGGGUAUCAAACAGGAUUAGAUACCCUUGUAGUC
rnacentral:rRNA from 1 species